rnacentral:lncRNA from 10 species
AGAGACCCUAACUGGCUUAGGUAGAGUGAUGGUGUCUGUGAGCUUCUUCUCAGAGAUCACAGAGCUUCCCAAGGAGGGUGGAACUGAUAACUUCCCUAAAGCAAGGAAGAGGGUCAUUCUCCUGUCUCAGUUACUACUGUUGUGCCCGUCGGAGUGGAUAAAGCAUAUUUCUUAGAGAGGACCACAGAAGCGAGGGCUUUGGGGAGGGAGGUGAUCUUGAGGAGGGUAGGAGAAGUGGAGUGAAGACAUUUUUUCUUUCUGAUUCUUCCAGAAGAGGACUAAAUUGGUUGGUGGAUGAUAGUUGUCCUUUGUAUGGAGGCUGGAUGUAGAAGGUGCUGCAAGCUCUGCAAGCUGAUUAGUUAAUGUGGAAGCUGAAACCUGCCUUGGGAAGCUGACCAUUGACCAUUGUCUUGCUUUUACCUGGGUUGCUUCCUUGUUUCUCUUUAGGUUUUUAAGAAAGGAUAAAGGCUGAACAGAUCUCUGCAGUUACAAUUAUUCAUACUAGAAGAUACUGCUAACCUCUUUGUUAUUUGAGCAGCUGGAUGAGAUUCCUGAUUUCCAUAAUCUGUACCUGGAGGUUUAUACAGGAGAGGAUCACUGGGGCAGACUUGAACCAUGGUGCCCACAAGUGGGGAGGGUGCUCCAGCGGCCAUGGAAAGAACUUCCUUCUGCAGUUGGAGACAGCCUUCUGUGUGGUGGACUCUUUAGUAUGGUUAUUUGGAUGAUGGUUUUGAUUCGGAGAGUCAAAAGCCAUGGUAUGUGAGGGCUACAAGCCAGGAUACUACACUUAAUUGACAUAUCUUCUUAAACGCCUCUGAUUUGUGACGGUUUCUCAGUCUUUCCUGCUUUUCAUGACCUUGAUGCCUUUGAAGAGAAGUGAAGUGAGAUCUCACUACGUUGCCCAGGCUGGU